rnacentral:rRNA from 1 species
CAGUAGCCGCGGGAAUACGAAGGGGGCUAGCGUUGCUCGGAAUUACUGGGCGUAAAGGGAGCGUAGGCGGAUCGUUAAGUUGGGGGUGAAAGCCCGGGGCUCAACCUCGGAACCGCCUUCAAUACUGGCGAUCUUGAGUAUGAGAGAGGUGUGUGGAACUCCGAGUGUAGAGGUGAAAUUCGUAGAUAUUCGGAAGAACACCGGUGGCGAAAGCGGCUCUCUGGCUUGUAACUGACGCUGAGGCUCGAAAGCGUGGGGAGCAAACAGGAUUAGAUACCCCUGUAGUCCCUGUCUCUUAUAC